rnacentral:lncRNA from 1 species
CUAAAUAUAAACUAUAAAAUAUAAAUGCAAGUUUCAAGGAUUUUAGAUGAGUUGAGGUAAUCAGUCAAUUGAAAUAAAUUAUUUAGGCCCUAAUCUAUGGAUUAGGGCCCACCCACUUGGAUUUAGGCCUACCCACUUGGGAACCAGGCCCAGCCAAUAAGAAUUAGUUUUUCCCUCCCAAAAAGGGCUUUAUUACAGACAGAAAUACUCGACAGUUUCAUCAGCUGCCCGGUUGGCUGGUCUCAGAUGAUCCCGCAGGUGAAGAAGCCGGAAGUCGAGGUCUUGGGUUGGUGUGGUUACAUGUGGUCUGCGGUUAUGAAUCCGGUUGGACAUACUUCCAAAUUCUCGAGACCCGUAAUCAUCCACAAUGGCAAAACAACAAGGCACAGGUACUCACACAACCAACGGACAUUGUAACAAUAAUCGACAGGACAAUGGGGAACAAAGGGCACACGUAUACAAUUACUAAUCAAAUGGGAAUAGGGACCAUGUGUGCGUAAUGACAGUUCCGGAGGGAUCCGUGACAGCUACAUGUUUUAAAGUGGCCUUUUAUUGUCCCCAGCACAAGGUACACCUGUGUAAUGAUCAUGCUGUUUAAUUACUUUCUUGAUAUGCCACACCUGUCAGGUGGAUAGAUUAUCUCGGCAAAGGAGAAAUGCUCACUAACAGGGAUGUAAACACAUUUGUGCACAAAAUACGUUUUUUGUACGUAUGUAACAUUUCUGGGACACUUUACAUGUUGCGUUUAUAUUUUUGUUCAGUAUAGAAAGAAAAUAGAAAAAUAACAUUUGCGAGACAAGGUGAAGAAAGGAGAGAUGAGAUGAGGGAAGGAGAGAUAAGGAGAGAUAAGGUGAGGGAAGGAGAGAUAAGGUGAGGGAAGGAGAGAAGGGGAGAUAAGGGGAGAUAAGGGGAGAAAAGGUGAGGGAAGGAGAGAUAAGGAAAGGGAAGGAACUCUACACCUACCCCACUGGGCACGCACGGGUUUAAUAAACAUUGGUUCAACGUCAUUUGUCAACCUAUUUUGAUGUGGAAUCAACGUGGACAACACAUUUGGAUUCACAAAAAGUAAUCAACCAGCAUUGUAACCAUUGACAUUUGGGUAAAAUUUCAACUAAAAUAGAAUGACUUCUUAAACAGAUCAGAGACCAGGCUACAAUCUUGCAUCUUUAGAGCAAAGAGCUUCUUCAAAAAGAAACUCAACAUUGCUCUUAUGGUCUUAGCUGAAACAGACAACAAAAGGACAACCGUUGGAAGAACUAGGAACAAUCUACUCCUACUGUAAUUUGUAACUCUAUGCAUUCUGUGUGUUCAACUCCUCCGUGAAAGAACCAAUAGAGAUGAUGUAAACUAAAGAAAGCAUUGUUCAACUUUUUUCUCCUCUGUAGUCAACUGUAAAUAAAUUCAAUAAAAUAGUUUUUUUU